AGGGCAGCCAAGUCGUGAGGCGGAGCUAAUCCCUUAAAGCCAUCCUCAGUUCGGAUUGUAGGCUGAAACUCGCCUACAUGAAGCUGGAGUUACUAGUAAUCGCAGAUCAGAAUGCUGCGGUGAAUGCGUUCCCGGGUCUUGUACACACCGCCCGUCACACCACGGAAGUUGGGGGCGCCCGAAGCCACUUAGCUAACCCUUUGGGAAGCGAGUGUCGAAGGUGAAAUCAAUAACUGGGGUGAAGUCGUAACAAGGUACC
rnacentral:rRNA from 1 species